UACGAAGGGGGCUAGCGUUGCUCGGAAUUACUGGGCGUAAAGCGCACGUAGGCGGAUUGUUAAGUCGGGGGUGAAAUCCUGGAGCUCAACUCCAGAACUGCCUUCGAUACUGGCGAUCUAGAGUUCGGGAGAGGUGAGUGGAACUGCGAGUGUAGAGGUGAAAUUCGUAGAUAUUCGCAAGAACACCAGUGGCGAAGGCGGCUCACUGGCCCGAUACUGACGCUGAGGUGCGAAAGCGUGGGGAGCAAACAGG
rnacentral:rRNA from 1 species